CCUACGGGAGGCAGCAGUGGGGAAUAUUGCACAAUGGGGCGCAAGCCUGAUCCAGCAAUGCCGCGUGUGUGAAGAAGGCCUUAGGGUUGUAAAGCACUUUCAAUAGGGAAGAAAAGCUUAGAGUUAAUAACUCUUAGCAUUGACGUAGCCUAUACAAGAAGCACCGGCUAAUUCCGUGCCCGCAGCCGCGGUAAUACGGAUGGUGCCAGCGUUAAUCGGGAUUACUGGGCGUAAAGCGCGCGUAAGCUGUUUUAUAAGUCGGAUGUGAAAUCCCCGGGCUCUACCUGGGAACUGCAUCCGAAACUAUUUAACUUAAAUAUGGGAAAGGGAAGUUGAAUUUCCUGUGGAACGGUGAAAUGCGUAAAUAUCGGAAAGAAUACCAGUGGCGAAGGCGGCUUACUGGACCAAUACUGACCCUGAAGUGCCAAAGCGUGGGGAGCCAACAGGAUUAGAUACCCUGGUAG
rnacentral:rRNA from 1 species